UAAAGCAACUUCUUUUUCUUCUGUGUUCCACUGAAAUCCCCUUCCCUUUUCCACUCAAAACAAUCUCAAUCAAGAAAGAAAUUUGAGCUUUUAAAUCAAAAUUCAAUACUAAACCUACUCUCCGUUCCGGCUGGAUUUGUGUUCUAAGCAAAGAGUACGAGAAGAGCUUGCAGCAGUAAGCCGGGCAGGGCUUACGGCAGGCUUUUAGCGCAUCAAAAGUUUGUAUUUUGUCCAUAGUAUGUAUAUCACGGGGAUGGAUCUGGGGUAGUUCUAGUAUCGGCUUCGACCCAUGUUUUUGUCGUAUUUUGACGUGUACAUAAAGGGAAAUUCUAAAGUCUUAUUUUGUUGUAUAAUAGACUGCCUUCUAAAUUUGGAUCUAGAUAUAUACAUUACCGUCUGUAGCUAUUUCUACUUAUAAACUUUUCUUACAUGUUCAACUGUUUUGAGUAAUGAACUGAAUGCAAAUGUUUUGAAAUGAUAUUAGAUGUGAUAGUAUGUUGGACUUACUAAACUAGUCUCCUAGAACCUGUGAAGGAAACUAAUGCAUGUGCUCCCACUUUGUUUAGUGACAUUUCUUUACACAACUAUGCAUCAGUUUCUCUAGAUGUCUAUUAAUCUAUUUUCGACUUACAAAUAUAUGGGAUUUCUAAUGAACACCUUUACUGAAAUUAUGGUGUUUUAUAAGUCAUGUUUCUUAUGUAUGUAUUACAUCAUCUGAUGGACAUCAUUUGCAUCUCCAUGCUUCCGAACUGAAUGGUUUCCUCUAAAAUCCUAGUGUAUUUUCCUUAUCCGGUCCUUGUUUUAUUAAUUAUGUACUUUGUUACCACUCUUUCGUAUGGGCUGUCGCCUGAAAAUAUUAUUUAAUCCUUGCAAUUGUUUUAGUAACCUUCUGUAUAAGUGGUGUUCAAUAUUUGACAAGUCUCCUUAGGCUUUUAUGCUUGAUUUCAGAAAUGAAAGCUUUCGUUUCCUUUCUAUUCCAAGAAAUUUUCAUCUUUGAGCACAUGUUCGUCUCAACUGUUUUAAAUAUGCUAUUGUCCGUUCUUCUAAAUGAGCCCAUGAAAAUAUACAUAUAUUUAGUUCUUUUUUUUUUUGAGUGACGUACGGGGGUUUGAUCUGCUAAUCGGGUUGAAAUCCAACCCGUUAGAGGGGAAAUUUUUUCGUUCGUUACAGUUGGUAUCAGAGCAAAGAAUACCAAAGGUUCCGAUUUACCGGGGCUGUGUUGGUUUUGUUGUUUGAUUAAGUCUUUGAUUUCGUCAUUUUGGGGUAUUGGGGAAAGCCAGGAACCGUGAUAUACAUAUCAUUAGGUGAAGUUAGUGAUGUACAUCACUAACCAAUUAUGGAUCUGACUCAUGUUCUGUUUUGAAGAUAGCGUGGUGUGCGGAAUCUGUAGCCUCAAGCUCCGCAUGUAAGAAAAUGGAUCUCAACAAGAGAAUGGAACGACUUAAAAAUAAUUUAGAACAUGUGGUAAGUUUUGUUGACUAUUACAGACGUCAUUAGAGACUGCAGGGAGUCGAGUACUUUAGACUAAAAUGAAUUUAAAAAGGUUAUGAGAAUUGACAGGGCGUUUAGUGUGACUAGCAAUUUUCUCUCAAAACAGACAAGUGGUUGAUGAGCAUUGAAGCGGAGUUUGAUACUUUAUAUGCAAAAUUAGAAGAGAAGAAGGUUGGGUUUUCAUUAAGUAAAUGGUCAAGAGUGGACUUCUCAAAAUUAGGAAGACAUGUUGAAAGCGCACGUACAACUUCAAGGACAGUUUGAGGAUGCUCUCGAAGUGAAUCACAUAUCCAAGCUUUAAAGACGCGAGGUUGACCCUUAUCACGUGAUUAGGUGACAAGAUUUGCAAUCGCGCAAGAUUGUGACUUAUGAUCAAAAGUCGGUACUCGUUAUCGUUAUCAGCUGGAUCAAGUCCUUCAGAUUAAACCAUUUAGAUGACAUCACUCUCUAGAAGAAGCUUAAAGGAAGCUGGAGUUCGAUAGGAGGGACAAGUAACUGGGCCACGGGAAGGCGGAUAUGGCUUAAUUUUGCGUUCCUUAGGAUCCCAUAUGGGUUUGACUUCAUCAGCGUAUGAGUCCGAAGAUACACCAUCAGUACGAGAUCGAAGUUUAUCCUUAGCUGCUAACCUUUUAUGGUGAAGUCGACGUCUCUUCUGCAGAUAAUCGGCUAGCAUCUCAUCCUCAGCUUUUCUUUUAAAUAAUUUAUCACGAACAACCUUCAUACGAUCAAGGGAUAUAUCAUUUAAUUUCCUUAGCAUCCUUCAAUGAUUGUUCCAUUUUGGCACGUGCUUCUGCUGCAGAAAUCUUCAUCUCUGGCUUAGGAAUUUUGGAAUCCUUCUCAGAAGAGUUAGAAGAAUAAUCACUGUUGGAAAUCACCAUUGUCUGGAACCAGAAAUGCAGGAUCACGAAUAUGCCGAUGUCAAUUUCACAAUAAAAUGGUAAUCCUUAACUCUUACCUAUUAACGGUUUCAUUAGUUUAGUGAUAAUAAUGCAAAACUGCGAAAAUCUUGCUCACUCCUUCAAACCUGCAAAGACGAGCAAAAUCUAUUAUUUAAAGUCACCUGACUUUUCACGAAAUUAUGAAUAAUUCAUAUAAUCUCUUUGUGUGAACAUUCACUUAUUUUCUACCGGGUAUACACACAUUAUGAAAUCACGGAUUCAUACAUCAUUCAUCACAUAUAAUUGUUUUCCUUCAAACAAUUACUCAAGAUCAAAGUUUGAUUUUAGCAAAG